GAACACCGACUUUCUCAAGAUACAACUGUGACAGCACAUCAGUGUCUACUUACUGCUGAAGCAAGUACCUUCAUCAGGGUUCCCAAAGAUCAUAUCUUAGAAGGGUCGAAGACGUCCAUUAUUUUGAAGCCAUCAAAUAGAAAAGAAGAAAGAAAUAAUUUGAAGAUAGUCAAGAAGGAAGAUGUAUCUGUUGGAAGAGGGCAAGUCAUGAUGGUUCAGAAGAAAAUAACGCACAAUUUGUCUGAUAGCAGAUAAUAAACUAUUUUUUGAUAAUGUAAUUGAGUCAGAGGUGACUCCCAUCAAUCUUACUUCCUUUACAGAACAAUAUAAUUUCUAUGAAAAAAUUCCUAAGUAUUUAUGUAACAUAUAUGAUAUAUUUUUUUAAUAAAAUCAAUAAACUUG